AGAGAACGUCUCCACAUUAUCAUAGAAAUAUGAUUUCAACAAGUAAAACAAUGAACUCUCCCAAAGGAUAAAGAAUGUAGGUCAACGUAUCAGAGCAGGGCUUGACUUCAUCUUGCAAAUAUGACGAGUGGGAGGGAGAUUUGAAGUUCCACAUUUUUUAUUGAAUCCAAGUCCAACACAGCGGGGCACAAUGGGACUUGUGCUUCCGUCUGCACCUUUUGAACGAUGCCAGCCUCACGCACUACAAACUCAUCUUGACUUCACAGACUGCCCUUCCUUUUGUACAUUUUUUGAGUUAACCAAUAAACCAUUUCCUACU